rfam:Gossypium hirsutum cultivar TM-1 chromosome 7, whole genome shotgun sequence
AAUAGGAGAAUGAGAAAUCAAAUUUUUUCUCCUGAUUUUCAGCCUUUUUCUCCUAAAAAAAUUCAAAUCCAACUAAAAAUACUAAAAAUCAGAAGGAAAAAUCUGAUCUUUCAUUCUCCUAUU